GACGAACGCUGGCGGCGUGCUUAACACAUGCAAGUCGAACGGAAAGGCCCUGCUUUUGUGGGGGUCUCGAGUGGCGAACGGGUGAGUAACACGUGAGUAACCUGCCCUUGACUUUGGGAUAACUUCAGGAAACUGGGGCUAAUACCGGAUAGGAGCUCCGGCUGCAUGGUGGGGGUUGGAAAGUUUCGGCGGUUGGGGAUGGACUCGCGGCUUAUGAGCUUGUGGGUGGGGUAGUGGUUUACCAAGGCCUUGACGGGUAGCCGGCCUGAGGGGGUGACCAGCCACAUUGGGACUGAGAUAGGGCACAGACUGCUACGGGAGGCAGCAGUGGGGAAUAUUGCACAGUGGGCGGAAGCCUGAUGCAGAAACGCCGCGUGCGGGAUGACGGCCUUCGGGUUGUAAACCGCUUUCGCCUGUGACGAAGCGUGAGUGACGGUAAUGGGUAAAGAAGCACCGGCUAACUACGUG
rnacentral:rRNA from 1 species